UACGAAGGGGGCUAGCGUUGCUCGGAAUUACUGGGCGUAAAGGGAGCGUAGGCGGAUAGUUUAGUCAGAGGUGAAAGCCCAGGGCUCAACCCUGGAAUUGCCUUUGAUACUGGCUAUCUUGAGUGUGGGAGAGGUUUAGCGGAACUCCGAGUGUAGAGGUGAAAUUCGUAGAUAUUCGGAAGAAACACCAGUGGCGAAGGCGGCUAAACUGGCCCCAUUUACUGACGCUGAGGCUCGAAAAGCGUGGGGGAGC
rnacentral:rRNA from 1 species